UACGUAGGGAGCAAGCGUUGUCCGGAAUCAUUGGGCGUAAAGCGCGCGUAGGCGGCCCUGUAAGUCCGCUGUGAAAGUCAGAGGCUCAACCUUUGAAUGCCGGUGGAUACUGCAGGGCUAGAGUCCGGAAGAGGCAAGUGGAAUUCCUGGUGUAGCGGUGGAAUGCGCAGAUAUCAGGAGGAACACCAACGGCGAAGGCAGCUUGCUGGGACGGUACUGACGCUAAGGCGCGAAAGCGUGGGGAGCGAACAGG
rnacentral:rRNA from 1 species